AUGGGUCACAUGAUGAUCGUAAGCAUAGUUCAACUGAUAAUCUCUGUGAUUAUGAAAACAUUUUGUCUUUCGCUCCUAUCUGAUGGCCCAU